rnacentral:rRNA from 1 species
CAGUCGCCGCGGUAAGACAGAGGAUGCAAGCGUUAUCCGGAAUGAUUGGGCGUAAAGCGUCUGUAGGUGGCUUUUCAAGUCCGCCGUCAAAUCCCAGGGCUCAACCCUGGACAGGCGGUGGAAACUACCAAGCUGGAGUACGAUAGGGGCAGAGGGAAUUUCCGGUGGAGCGGUGAAAUGCGUUGAGAUCGGAAAAAACACCAACGGCGAAAGCACUCUGCUGGGCCGACACUGACACUGAGAGACGAAAGCUAGGGGAGCAAAUGGGAUUAGAUACCCGCGUAGUCCCUGUCUCUUAUAC